AACGGUGUGCAACCCCUGACUCAUUUUCUUACGCAGUCCCGAAUGAUGAGGUAUCGUUUGAAGUCUGUGCUUUCCUGGAGCGUGUAACAAACAGUUAAACUGGAAGAAAGAGUUUCAGGGCGGAUCUGGUCCUGAGAAGCACGAGCAGCCGGCUGCAGCACUCAGAGCAGCGCGUAGCCCUGGCCCGGCGGACAGAAGGUGCUUCUAUGGGGCAGUGAGUUACAUUAAGGAGUAAAGUGGAAUCUGACUGCACAACCUCAUGGGGAAACCGUCUAUAUUUAAGCUCUGAGUUUUUAAGAAAUUCCCCUUUUGCAAGCUAAUACCUUUGAAAUGACAAGAUAUCUUCCUGUGCUGUAAGAAAUAAAGCGCUGCAGCAAGGAUGGGAGCACCAACCUGGACGCAGGUUCUUCUGCACUUCGUGCACUCCCGCACCCUGUUCUGCGGUUCUCACGGUUCAGAAAAGUGGCAACUUCGAUGCGCCUUCAUGUCCUCUGCCAGAUGCAACUGAGAUACUGAUACGACUGCACUUCAAAGUAAAAUGAAGGAAUCCGAGGUCGUCGGUGCUCUUCAGAUUUGCACCGUGUCAGGACUAAGUGCUAUGAACCCUUGUUUAUAUGGAGUGCGGCUGCAGAAAUC
rnacentral:lncRNA from 1 species